rnacentral:rRNA from 1 species
CCUGCUAGUCGAGCGGAAACGAUCCUAGCUUGCUAGGAGGCGUCGAGCGGCGGACGGGUGAGUAAUGCAUAGGAAUCUGCCCGGUAGUGGGGGAUAACCUGGGGAAACCCAGGCUAAUACCGCAUACGUCCUACGGGAGAAAGCAGGGGAUCUUCGGACCUUGCGCUAUCGGAUGAGCCUAUGUCGGAUUAGCUAGUUGGUGAGGUAAUGGCUCACCAAGGCUGCGAUCCGUAGCUGGUCUGAGAGGAUGAUCAGCCACAUCGGGACUGAGACACGGCCCGAACUCCUACGGGAGGCAGCAGUGGGGAAUAUUGGACAAUGGGCGAAAGCCUGAUCCAGCCAUGCCGCGUGUGUGAAGAAGGCCUUCGGGUUGUAAAGCACUUUCAGUGAGGAAGAAGGCCUUGAGGUUAAUACCCUCGAGGAAGGACAUCACUCACAGAAGAAGCACCGGCUAACUCCGUGCCAGCAGCCGCGGUAAUACGGAGGGUGCGAGCGUUAAUCGGAAUUACUGGGCGUAAAGCGCGCGUAGGCGGCUUGAUAAGCCGGUUGUGAAAGCCCCGGGCUCAACCUGGGAACGGCAUCCGGAACUGUCAGGCUAGAGUGCAGGAGAGGAAGGUAGAAUUCCCGGUGUAGCGGUGAAAUGCGUAGAGAUCGGGAGGAAUACCAGUGGCGAAGGCGGCCUUCUGGACUGACACUGACGCUGAGGUGCGAAAGCGUGGGUAGCAAACAGGAUUAGAUACCCUGGUAGUCCACGCCGUAAACGAUGUCGACUAGCCGUUGGGCUCCUUGAGAGCUUUGUG